UUCACCAAGCGCAGCACUUCGAAAUAUGAAACACACCAAAGUAGUCCAACGACAUUCAAUUCUACAAGUAAGGGAUGACUAACCUUUUCAGGCCUAUGGGCACACUUUAACCUUUUAGUCACUUAUCUCCCCCUCCUCUGAGAGACAGAGAGAGAUAAGGUGGCAUGCACACACACACACUUCACUUUUCCAAGAGAUCUAGGUCAAAGUCGGAUCGUGUGGAGUUAAUCUGACCUUUGAAAAACACUUAAGAUAUGAAAGAGGAAGUGGGAAAGAAUGUGGCGCAUCCAGCUUCAGCUCCAUGCAUUUUUCAACAGAGAAAAAUGUAACCACCUUCACCACUUCAUGAGCAGUCAGAUUAAGAGAAAUAUUGCAUAACAAUGCACAGUUAUAUGCCUGGCAUUGUGAAGAUUUCUGCUAAGGACAAUGAGGUGAGUCAAGUUCAAUCAAGGUGAGAGUUUCAGUUUUGGGAAUUCUGCGUGUGGUGGUUUGAAUUUGAACAGGGUAGAUGAUUUAACAUUGUUUCUAAAAUUAUAUAUAUAUAUAUCUCCUUCCUUCCCAAAGCAGAUAUGAUUUAAUAACAACUCUAGAGUGUGGGUGUUGGGGGAAGAGUUGCACCCUUGCUUUUAGACUGCACUCAUACAGAGUACAAGAUGCUGGAGCUCUCCGAGAGUUUUAAAAAACCAAGCUAAUUAAGUCAUGGAUAGAAGGUUUGCAACAGACCACCAUAACUG